GCCCCGGUGGCCUAAUGGUUAGAGCGUCCGCUUCGGAUGCAGGAGGUCGCGGGUUGGAACCCUGGUGGAGUCA